rnacentral:misc_RNA from 1 species
GAUGAAGAACGUAGCGAAAUGCGAUAACUAAUGUGAAUUGCAGAAUUCCGUGAAUCAUCGAGUCUUUGAACGCACAUUGCGCCCCCUGGCAUUCCGGGGGGCAUGCCUGUCCGAGCGUCAUUGCUGCCCUUCAAGCCCGGCUUGUGUGUUGGGUCGUCGUCCCCCCCGGGGGACGGGCCCGAAAGGCAGCGGCGGCACCGCGUCCGGUCCUCGAGCGUAUGGGGCUUUGUCACCCGCUCGAUUAGGGCCGGCCGGGCGCCAGCCGGCGUCUCCAACCUUCUAUUUUACCAGGUUGACCUCGGAUCAGGUAGGGAUACCCGCUGAACUUAAGCAUAUCAAUAAGCGGAGGA